GACGAACGCUGGCGGCGUGCCUAACACAUGCAAGUCGAGCGAAUGAAGUUCCUUCGGGAACGGAUUUAGCGGCGGACGGGUGAGUAACACGUGGGCAACCUGCCUCAUAGAGGGGAAUAGCCUUCCGAAAGGAAGAUUAAUACCGCAUAAGAUUGUAGCUUCGCAUGAAGCAGCAAUUAAAGGAGCAAUCCGCUAUGAGAUGGGCCCGCGGCGCAUUAGCUAGUUGGUGAGGUAACGGCUCACCAAGGCGACAAUGCGUAGCCGACCUGAGAGGGGGAUCGGCCACAUUGGGACUGAGACACGGCCCAGACUCCUACGGAGGCAGCAGUGGGGAAUAUUGCACAAUGGGGGAAACCCUGAUGCAGCAACGCCGCGUGAGUGAUGACGGUCUUCGGAUUGUAAAGCUCUGUCUUCAGGGACGAUAAUGACGGUACCUGAGGAGGAAGCCACGGCUAACUACGUGCCAGCCGCCGCCGUAACAC
rnacentral:rRNA from 1 species